AGCUAGUGUGGUGUAGUGGCUUGUGUAUUGGACUGCAACUCUGGAGACCAGGGUUCAAUUCCCAGAUCAGCCA